GCGAAAGUGGCGGAAUUGGCAGACGCACCAGACUUAGGAUCUGGCGCCGUGAGGCGUGGGGGUUCGAGUCCCCCCUUUCGCACCA
rnacentral:tRNA from 1 species